GCGGGCGUCGUAUAAUGGUAAUACCCUAGCUUCCCAAGCUAGAGCCGUGGGU
rnacentral:tRNA from 1 species